rnacentral:rRNA from 1 species
ACGAACGCUGGACGGUGUAGCUUCACACAUGCAAGUCGAACGAGGUAGCAAGUACCUAGGUGGCGGACGGGUGAGUAACGCGUGGGAAUCUGCCUUUAGAUGGGGGAUAACGGGUCGAAAGACUCGCUAAUACCGCAUAUGACGAAAGUUGAAAGGAGUAAUCCGUCUAAAGAUGAGCCCGCGUCCGAUUAGCUAGUUGGUAGACGUAAAAAGCCUACCAAGGCGACGAUCGGUAGCUGGUCUGAGAGGAUGAUCAGCCACAAUGGGACUGAGACACGGCCCAUACUCCUACGGGAGGCAGCAGUGGGGAAUUUUACGCAAUGGCGAAAGCCUGACGUAGCGACACCGCGUGAGCGAAGAAGCCCCUUGGGGUGUAAAGCUCUGUCAGCUGGAACGAAAAAAUGACGGUACCAGCAGAGGAAGCAUCGGCUAACUACGUG